GGCGAACGCUGGCGGCGUGCUUAACACAUGCAAGUCGAACGGAAAGGCCCUGCUUUUGUGGGGUGCUCGAGUGGCGAACGGGUGAGUAACACGUGAGUAACCUGCCCUUGACUUUGGGAUAACUUCAGGAAACUGGGGCUAAUACCGGAUAGGAGCUCCUGCUGCAUGGUGGGGGUUGGAAAGUUUCGGCGGUUGGGGAUGGACUCGCGGCUUAUCAGCUUGUUGGUGGGGUAGUGGCUUACCAAGGCUUUGACGGGUAGCCGGCCUGAGAGGGUGACCGGCCACAUUGGGACUGAGAUACGGCCCAGACUCCUACGGGAGGCAGCAGUGGGGAAUAUUGCACAGUGGGCGGAAGCCUGAUGCAGCAACGCCGCGUGCGGGAUGACGGCCUUCGGGUUGUAAACCGCUUUCGCCUGUGACGAAGCGUGAGUGACGGUAAUGGGUAAAGAAGCACCGGCUAACUACGUG
rnacentral:rRNA from 1 species